AGGUCUCCGUUGGUGAACCAGCGGAGGGAUCAUUGCUGGAACGCGCUUCGGCGCACCCAGAAACCCUUUGUGAACUUAUACCUAUCUGUUGCCUCGGCGCAGGCCGGCCUUUUGUGACAAAGGCCCCCUGGAAACAGGGAGCAGCCCGCCGGCGGCCAACUAAACUCUUGUUUCUAUAGUGAAUCUCUGAGUAAAAACAUAAAUGAAUCAAAACUUUCAACAACGGAUCUCUUGGUUCUGGCAUCGAUGAAGAACGCAGCGAAAUGCGAUAAGUAAUGUGAAUUGCAGAAUUCAGUGAAUCAUCGAAUCUUUGAACGCACAUUGCGCCCUCUGGUAUUCCGGAGGGCAUGCCUGUUCGAGCGUCAUUUCAACCCUCAAGCCUGGCUUGGUGAUGGGGCACUGCCUUCUAGCGAGGGCAGGCCCUGAAAUCUAGUGGCGAGCUCGCUAGGACCCCGAGCGUAGUAGUUAUAUCUCGUUCUGGAAGGCCCUGGCGGUGCCCUGCCGUUAAACCCCCAACUUCUGAAAAUU
rnacentral:rRNA from 1 species